rnacentral:rRNA from 1 species
AUUGAACGCUGGCGGCAUGCCUUACACAUGCAAGUCGAACGGUAACGCGGGGGCAACCCUGGCGACGAGUGGCGAACGGGUGAGUAAUACAUCGGAACGUACCCAGUAGUGGGGGAUAGCUCGGCGAAAGCCGGAUUAAUACCGCAUACGACCUAUGGGUGAAAGCGGGGGAUCGCAAGACCUCGCGCUAUUGGAGCGGCCGAUGUCGGAUUAGCUAGUUGGUGAGGUAAAGCNCACCAAGGCUACGAUCCGUAGCUGGUCUGAGAGGACGACCAGCCACACUGGGACUGAGACACGGCCCAGACUCCUACGGGAGGCAGCAGUGGGGAAUUUUGGACAAUGGGCGAAANCCUGAUCCAGCCAUGCCGCGUGUGU